rnacentral:rRNA from 1 species
GCCAUGCAUGUCUCAGUACUUGCUUUUACAAGGCGAAACCGCGAAUGGCUCAUUAAAUCAGUUAUGGUUCACUAGAUCGUCAAUUUUACACGGAUAACUGUGGUAAUUCUAGAGCUAAUACGUGCAAAUAGCUCGCUUCCUUGCGGAGCGAGCGCAGUUAUUAGAUCAAAACCAAUCCGGCCUUCGGGUCGGUACAAUUGGUGACUCUGAAUAACCGAAGCGGAGCGCAUGGUCUCGUACCGGCGCCAGAUCUUUCAAGUGUCUGACUUAUCAGCUUGUUGUUAGGUUACGUUCCUAACAAG